GACGAACGCUGGCGGCGUGCUUAACACAUGCAAGUCGAACGGAAAGGCCCUGCUUUUGUGGGGUGCUCGAGUGGCGAACGGGUGAGUAACACGUGAGUAACCUGCCCUUGACUUUGGGAUAACUUCAGGAAACUGGGGCUAAUACCGGAUAGGAGCUACUGCUGCAUGGUGGGGGUUGGAAAGUUUCGGCGGUUGGGGAUGGACUCGCGGCUUAUCAGCUUGUUGGUGGGGUAGUGGCUUACCAAGGCUUUGACGGGUAGCCGGCCUGAGAGGGUGACCGGCCACAUUGGGACUGAGAUACGGCCCAGACUCCUACGGAAGGCAGCAGUGGGGAAUAUUGCACAAUGGGCGGAAGCCUGAUGCAGCAACGCCGCGUGCGGGAUGACGGCCUUCGGGUUGUAAACCGCUUUCGCCUGUGACGAAGCGUGAGUGACGGUAAUGGGUAAAGAAGCACCGGCUAACUACGUG
rnacentral:rRNA from 1 species